UUCAUAAUAUAUACACACCUUACUAGAUUUAUAAUAUACAUACAUUAUUACAUUCAUAAUAUAUAUACACAGACAAUAAUAUCAUUAUUAUUACAAAUUUUUAUUCAAUUGAUUUCUUGUACAUAUAUACUCACACAGAUAUCUAUAUUCUUUUCAAAGUUCCAGCUCGAAGAUGCGGCCAUGCUGAUGCACCACCGUACAUAAAUAUAUAAGCAAACACACACAAUUAAAUACAAUACAAGAUGCCUUCUUGAUUUCUCUCUCUCAUAUUCUUCCUCUCCAGAAACCAAGCAGUUACUCUGGAGGACUGGACAAAGAAGCUGGCUUCAAACUGAUAUGUCCCUGGCUCUGAAUAUAAGAAAAUACAAGACAAUAAAGAGUUAAAAAACAAUGUGUUUUUUAUUAAUUAUACAUACACUUCGCUUACUAACAAUACAUAUACAAGAUGACCUCUUUCUCCGGAAACCAAGCAGUUACUCUGGAGGGCUGAACAAAGAAGUUAGCUUCAAAUUGAUAAGUUCCUGGCUCUGAAUAUAAGAAAAUACAAGACUAUGACAAUAUUAAUGUGUCAAUAAAGAGUUAUAAGACAA